UUUCUUCAGGGAGGUCCUUGACCCCGAGAUUUACAGGUGUCUUUCCUUCCUCACACAUGGGGCACCAAUAUAACAGCUGUGGGAGU